UACAGAGGGGGCCAGCGUUAUUCGGAAUUAUUGGGCGUAAAGGGCGCGUAGGCGGCCAUGUGUGUCUUCCGUGAAAUCCCUCGGCUUAACUGAGGACGUGCGGAAGAAACUGCAAGGCUCGAGUCCGGGAGAGGGGGGUGGAAUUCCCAGUGUAGCGGUGAAAUGCGUAGAGAUCGGCAGGAACACCCAGGGGGAAACCAGUCGACUGGGCAUUACCUGACGCUGAUGUGCGAGAGCGUGGGGAGCGAACCGG
rnacentral:rRNA from 1 species